CUCUCGAUCUCUUUUGAAAUCAAUACAACAAUUUCCACAAGGCCAGAUGAAUUAUUUAUUAAAAUAAAUCACCAAUCCCACCUUGGAAACUCAUUAGCUCAUUCCAAUACAGAAACUAAGCAGAAAUAAUCUGCAUACACACUUAAUUUCCAGGUGCUGGAACAGAAGCUAGUUUAAAUCUGCGAAAAUUCUCAAAGUAUCCCACCAAAAGGUCCCUCUGAGGCAAGGAUUCUUUGACAGCAGGAACCUGGAGAAAAUCCCGCUUCCAUUUUUCUAUGACAGGAAAGUUUUCAGGGUCAAUUACCUGGACACCAGCAAAUUCCUCAAUUACUCCAAGCCAUAUGCUGAUCCAACCCAGCAUUAUAUCAACAAUUCCUAGCGUUUCACCUCCAAAGAAUCUUUUUCCCUUGAUCUUGAGCUCUCCUUCAAGAAUUUCCAAGGCUUCCGUUGCUUUCUUCACAUCCUGCUGCUGUUGCUCUCCUUGGGUAGUUAUAGUUCUCCUUACAGCUUCCGCAAGCUUGUCAUCUAUGAAGCUAGCCCAGAAGCGAGCCAAGGCCUUGUCGUGAGGAUCCUGAGGUAAUAAAGGGUUGCGUUUCCAAGUCUCAUCAAUGUACUCAAGAAUGACAAAGGAUUCAGAAAUGGGUUUCUGAUUAUGAAUAAGGACAGGGAUUUUCUCGUAGACAGGAUUGUUCUUGAGAAGCAGAGGGCUCUUGUUGGAUAAAUCUUCCUGUAAAACCUGAUGUGGAAUUCCCUUAAGCUUUAAUGCCAGUUCCACCCUGUGAGAAAAUGGACUGAACCAACCGCCCAACAGCUUCACCUCUUCCCCAGCUGCCAUGCUAAUUCGAGAGCCUUUUUCCUUUCUCUGCAGAGGGUUUUUUGAUUUGUAGUUGUAGCAACUUCUCUAAAUUA
rnacentral:misc_RNA from 1 species